UGUUGCUUUAUAACCAGUUUUCCCAUCCUCCUCAUUUCUUUUGUCCUUAUCUGUCUUCAGCUCCUCUGUCCACGGACUUAAGGGCCCCAAAUACCCCCGGACCGGUCUCCUUGACAACUCCUUGUUAUCUUUUCGGUGGCCCGCGACCGGAAGCGGGGUGUGCCCGGAGACUCCUGGGAAAUGUAGUUCAGCCUCCCGACGGCCCAGGCCCAAUCGAAUGGUUCUGCCUCCUCGGGCACCAGAACCAAGGGGCGAGGGCGCGUGACCGGGCCGUUCGGAAGCCUUGGAGAGUGGAGGCUCAUCUGCACACGAUCACCCCCGACGGUUGGUGAGCCGACGAGCCCAGCCUGUCUCCGUGGUAACCGGCUGGCCACAGAGAACUGUGGGAAGUGUAGUUGGGCAGGGCCGGCCAGUACUCAAGGUCAGAAGGGUUGCUGUUAUACCGCUGGCCACCGCUGGCAGAACGAUUUUGCGGCAUCCGGGCGACGCCGUCCCGCCGUCACCUUGGCCUCUGAUCACCCAGGCAGACAGAUGUAACGCUCUUUGAGGAAGAACCACCCGGUGUCCCUUGGACUCACAGCACCUCUGAGCGCCGAGGGACUCGGGAUGACAUGGGGAUCGGUGACUGCAUACAGAUGUGGACGCAGACAGAUGGAUUUGUGGCUCAGGGUCAUCACGCAAGGAGACACGCUUACCCUUGACUGAAGACACGACCUGCCUUCUCGGGGAUGGUUGUCGGCCAUUCUCUUCCGGGUCACACAGGAGGAAGGUGAUCUCAUCUUUAUUGCCACCUCUUCCCCCACCCCUGACCUGAAAGCCUGAUGUCCAUAAGGUGGCAAGAGGCCCUUGGCUCUGUCUGGGGGGCACUGCUGGCUGUCAUGCAUUGUGCUAACCUUGGGAGUGACCUUGAUUGGGGAGGUGGGAGCGAGCAAGAAAUUAGUAUGUUGGAGAGCUGGCCAGUGUCCCGGUUAAGGAUGGCUGGCUCAGGGUCCACCCCAAAGAUGAACUUGGAGCUCUUUGAGAGCAAGACCUAUGUCUGAAGCAUCUCUGUAUUCAUAGUGCCUCAAUUAACACCUGGCACAUAGCUGGUAUUCAUCCGACACUGGGCACUCCUGUAGCUGCCAGCAACCAGAGUUACCAGCAAGGAGGUAACAGGAGAACAGAUGUUAGUGACUGUGCUGAAAGGCCCCACCUGUGCUGGCCGCCACAAAUGCAUCAUCCUUUACCAUAGAGCAGAGUGCUGGGUCCCAAGCACAAAAUGCAGGAACAUCUCUUGUCUUUUGUUAACUGCAAAAUCUGUAUCUCCCCUAUGAACAAACAAAACAAAACAGGGACAGACUCUGUGUAUAUAUCCAUGGAUUUAUAUAGCCAUGGCGUGCUCUUCUAAAUGUCUUUAAAAUCUAGUAAGUUAGAAAUGUUGGAAAAAAAAAAAAAGAAAGAAAUGUUGGAGGUGCUAGUCCCUGGAUCUGGCAUUGCCCAUCAGAACUGCGUUUCCUAGAAAGCCAAGGCUACUCUGAACAGCUAAAACUUGAACCCAGGAAAGCCUUGAACCCGGUGAGUAGAUCAUGGAGCAUUAAGGAGAAAAAGGGAGGGUCCUUGCCAGCCGCCUCUUUGCCUGCUUACCAGAGGCUCAUGAGCUCACGUGGCGGUCUCUGGGCAGGAGGACAGCUGGUCACUGGGUUUCUGUGCUACUGUCCUGGGAGUUUAGAGCUGGAACGUCACUUGUAGUAGAUCUCCAGAUACCCUCUCAAAUCACUCCUCGAAGGGCCUAUCCAAGGAACAAAUAGAGUAGGAAGUGAUAGAAACAGGCAGAGGAGAUUGAAAUGGCUAAACCAGGAAAGGCUGUUGGGAGAGAGGGGACUGGAGGGACAGGGACUGUAAGCUCUGCGAAGUUAGAGACUCUUAACUCCUGGGGGGCUAGGUGAAAGCUGUUCCAAGGGCCUCUAGGAAAUCACUCCAGAAACUAGAAGGAAAGCUGUCAAGUGCUUCAUGGGGUGCAAAGUCACCCCCAGCCCCACUCACCACCAUGGGGGGCCCCAGUGGAGCUCCCCAUCACAACCGCCAUGCCACGCAAGGUCUUUUGAUGGGUGCCAACCAGCAGGCUCUCCCCUGGGGCUCGGUCCCACCUGAGCAUGUGAUAGGCUCUGAGGAUAGCAGUCACUCACAUGCGUUUAGUGCUUUACACACAGGGUGUCAUUUAAUCCUCCCAACAACCCUUGAAAUGGGAUGUUUCUAUCCUCACGUUACAGAUGAAGAAACUAAGACCUAGAGAGGUGCAGUAAACUGCCCAAAAGAAGUAGAGGAGCGAGGCUUAGAAUCCAGGUUUUGCACAUCCUCAUUUUCGUGUUGUGGGAUUUUUCAUUCCCUUUGCUGGAAUCACCAGUCCAUUUUCUGUCCCCGUUACGUGGUAUCAUGUUGAGUUAGUCCUGCUUCUCCAGUCUCUUCCGUGGCCUGCCAGAUGCUGCCAGGCCCUAUUAAAGCCAUGUUCAUGAGAAAGCCUGGCUUCCUACUAGCAGUCCCUGGAAUUUCUCCUGUGGGAAUUCAGGGGAUAUAUCAGGGCAGACUCAAGAAACUGAUUAUGCUGGUCAUUCUGUAAGUCAAGUAACGGGCCCUCAGAGUGAGUGACCUGAACAACUGGAUCCGGCUGGGCAGGUUCAGCUGCAGUCACAGGUCAAGGGCCUUGAUUCGUCUGCCAACCAGAUUCCUCUCUUCUCCACUUGGCAUCCACUGAAACGGGACUGAAAUGUACACAAUGGCCUUUCCCUCCUGUGUCCACCUGGCGUCUCUCUAGUAGACUGGCCUAAUUUCCUUAUCUUGUUGCCCUGGGCUCCAGGAGCCACUGUCCACGCCCUCUGUCCUGCCUCACCCCCAUACCCCGCCUCGUUCAGCCCAGGUGGCUGUGUUGCAUCACAUGACUCUGCCUCUGUCCUCCUCGCACCACACACACACACACACACACACACACACACACACUCACACACACACUCUCACACACACACACCCACUCACUCACUCAUGCAGGUCAGUGACCCAGGAUCUGUGUACACUGGUCAACAACUUUUGAAGUCCCCUGACUCAGUGAGUAUUUGGAAAGCCAGUCAGGCCAGGCAGAUUCCUCUUUUAGGAAAUUUGAACCUCCAAAUCAGACUGCAUAGGCAGUGUGUGACAGGAGGUCGUGAGGGCAACUAGGGCCAGGUGUUGGCUGGAAGUACACUGAGGUGGAAGGUUGGAGAUUGAAGAAAGGCAAAACAAUACUUAACGUUGGGGGAUUAAUGAGCCUCUUUGGGAAGAAGAUAAAGGAUGUCCAGAUUAGAGGCAGGGCUCCAGGAAAGGCAGAGGGAGGAGCCAGCCCUAGAGCCUCCCCAGGGCUCGCCAGGCCCUCCUUGCCCAUGUGUAUCAUUGCAGCAGGCUCCUUACUUAGUCUGUCUGCUGUCUGGCUCAGAAUCAGGCAUGCGACAGUUCUGCAUAGGGAAGUGGCUGGGGGACCUUCUGGGAAGAUUUUGCUUCCUGAUUAAAGGAGAAUGAAGAGGCCCAUCUCUUCCUCCUGCUUUGAACAGGGAUGUUUGAGAUGUGAUACUUGGAGCUGUGGCAGCCAUUUUGAGACCAGGUGUCAACAAGACCAAGGCAGAAAGCCAACAUACCAAGGUUGGCCGAGUAGACAGAAGAAAAAGCCUAGGGCCUCGAUGAUACCGUUGAGCCACCACACCUAUCCUGGAACCACCUACUUCCAGUCUUACUGAUCUUUAAAUUGAACUGUCUUUAUUUUCUAAGCACAUUUCUGCUGUUUGCAGCCUAAGGCAUUCUUAGCCAAUACAGCACUCCUCUGAACUUCCCUGUCAUCAACUCCUCAGAGCCCCCACAGCUCUUGGUACAGCUCCAAAUGGAAAAUCAGCCCAAUUUAGCCACUGGAAACCUUAAUUGUAUGGUAGGAAAUACAGGUCAAGAUCGGUCAUAGCCCACACAGGCAAGCAGCUUGAGCACUUAGUUCUGGUUCCCGGAGCCUACAGGGCACUGAUGAGGCAAGAUAGAUUCAGGACAGUUUCAGAUGUACGAGCCUGGGUCUUCUAAAUUGCGGCUCCACGAGGAACUUUAGAACAAAUCAGCGUGGAAGGGGUGGGGGGUGGGUGUUAGUCUCUGGAUGCAGAGCCUGAGCAUGGGUCAGAAGGCCGUGGCAGAAGGAGAAGCAAGCUGGAAUUGGCAAAUGGUGAGUUAGGCUGGAUGAGUUCUAGAGGAGGCCAUUGUCACACGGCAGGGUCUUACGAGCCCCAUGUACGAGAUGAAGGCAGUGUAUGGCAGCCAGAACUUAACUGAUGGAAAACCAGGCUUUUUCGUUACUCUCCAGCCAUGAAAGUGACAUUUCAUGUCCUUUGGGGAAUAGGGUGCCCUGACUUGAGGCCACUUCCCGCAUUCUCCAUGCUUUGUCCCUUUGCCACCUGGCCCUUUUUCCUUUACCUUUCCUUCCUAUCUUCUCUAAGCAAAGUCAGGAGCCAGAAACGCACAGGACCUGAAUCGCUUCUUCCUCUACUGCGGAAUGGAUAUAGUGGCAAGCAAGGAUGUCUCCUAGAAGACUUAGAAUCCCAGGCUAGGGAUAAGGAGUUUGGUUGGAAGGUGAGAACACAGUUGGUGGAUAAGGACUAGAUGAACCUUUCUCCUGAUCCAAUUUUCAUCACAUAAUGUGGUUUUUGUGUUGCUUCAACACAAGAAAAUGUGCCUGACCCUUGCUUCAUGAAAAGAGGAACUGAACUUAGGAACUCUAGCCCUUCCUCUUUAAAUGUCUAGUUUUAAAUUUAAAACAAAGUGAAACUGGUAUCCUCCUCAUGUAGCUGUCAGAUGCAUUCAGAACUGGAGAAAAAUUGGCCUCCCUCUUUUCCCAUCUCAAAAUAGUCUUCAGCAGUAAAGAGACAUGGCCCAUAGAAGUUCCUCAAGCUAAUGGGGGCCAAACACGAAUGUGUUGCAGUUAGGGUAGAAUUUGUAACCUCCAGAUCCUGCCAGUAAGCCUCUCCCCCUCAACACAGUCCUUUCACACCCUCCACAAUUUAUGGUGUCCUGCCCUUGAAGGUUCAGACUAGGCUGACUCUGCUGUUUGCCUGUUGUAUUACUUCAUUCAUUCAGCAAAACUGGACUGAAUAUCUACCAAGAAUAGAAGUUAAGCUUAUAAAAGCAAGUUUAUAAGCUUAUCUUCCUAAGUCAUUAGAUAUUCUAGAAUAUAUAUAUAUAUAUAUUCUAUGAGACAGAGAAUGAAAUGGAAAUCUUGGUUGCAGUGGAAGAAUCUAUAAAGUUUAAGCCCCUGCUUAAUGCAAUUCACGCUUUAAUUGACAAUAAACCCUGAGCCCCCUCCCCUCCUCAAAGCUUCCCCAUUUAUCACUGAAGAUUCUCUGAAAUCCAAUAAGGAAAAGACCUGAAGGCUUUUCCUCAUUCUCCACAAUCAAGGCUUUUCUCCAGAAUGAAUUAGUCUGAUUACUGGCUAAAAGCUCUCCCACAAUGUUUCCAAUGAGAGUGUUUCUUUCCUGUAAAUUCUCCAAAGAUGCUGCUCCACGUUGGUUCCACUCACAGGCUGCUCUCCAGCGUGAAUGAGUGCGGUGUACCCCACACCUCCCCCGGACGGCCUCCCCCAUUCAGCACACACGCCUGCUUCCUGUCCCCGUGAAUCAGCCCACAUUGUCCGAGGCUGGAACUCUGAUUGAAGGUUCUUCCUCAUCCCUUCUGCUCCCAGGGCUCCUAUCCACUCUGAAAUCCCAGAUGUCUAAUUAGCUCUGAGCACCAUCUAAAAGCGCUUUCACAGCUAUGACGCGCAUGUGGUUUUUCUCCAGUGUGAAUUCUCUGACGUUGAAUGAGCUUUGCUUUUCCCGAAAGCCCUUACAGUUACGGCAUUUGUAGAGUUUCUGCUGCAUGUGAAUUAGCUGGUAUCAGGAUGCUGCUGUAUGCCUCCUGCAAAAGGAUUCUCUCCAAGAUGAACAUCAGAAUGUUGGGGAGGUGGGGUGCCCGGAGAAAAGUGGCCUCUGUUUCAUAAGAAAGAUGUUUUCUCCAAAAUGUGUACUGUAAUAAGGAAUAAAUUCUGAAUUCUGUUCUAA